AGAGUUUGAUUCUGGCUCAGGAUGAACGCUAGCGGCAGGCUUAACACAUGCAAGUCGAGGGGCAGCGGGUGUAGCAAUACAUGCCGGCGACCGGCGAAAGGGUGAGGUAACGCGUGAGCAACGUGCCCGGUAUUGGGGGAUAGUCAUUGGAAACGAUGCGUAAUACCCCGUAACAACAAGGAUCGCAUGGUUCAUGUUUAAAAGAUUUAUUGAUACCGGAUCGGCUCGCGUACCAUUAGGUAGACGGCGGGGUAACGGCCCACCGUGCCGACGAUGGUUAGGGGUUCUGAGAGGAAGGUCCCCCACAUUGGAACUGAGACACGGUCCAGACUCCUACGGGAGGCAGCAGUGAGGAAUAUUGGUCAAUGGCCGAGAGGCUGAACCAGCCAUGCCGCGUGCCGGGAAGACGGCCCUAUGGGUUGUAAACCGCUUUUGUCGGGGAGCAAUAAGUGUUACGUGUAACACGAUGAGAGUACCUGGCGAAUAAGCAUCGGCUAACUCCGUGCCAGCAGCUGC
rnacentral:rRNA from 1 species